GGCCCCGGGAGGGGCCGGGGCAACGCGGGGCGAGCCGGGAGGGGGUCUAGAGGGGCGCGGCCAUAGCGGGGCCGGGGGGCUGGGGGCUGUGCCGGGGCGGCUUCAGCGGCGGGGCUGCAUGACCGGGCGAGCCUUUGCCUCGCCCCCCGCCGGGCCCGGGGCCGGGCCGCCCCCCUCGGCCUGCCCUGCCGGCUGCGGGCUCCGUAGCUCCUCCUCGCCGUGCCUCCGGGGGGCCCGAGCCGGGCGGGCGGCGGAGAGGCGGCCCCCCACCGCUCCCGGUGCUGCCCCCGAGCCUCGGGGCGGGCCGCCUUAGGGGCUGCGCCUGCCCCCUCCGCGCCCCACCAUCUGCCCGGGGCCGGGGCUGCUGCCGCCGGAGGAUGCUCCCGCGGGCGGCCGCGCCGAGCCGUGCGCUCCGCACAGCUGGAUCCCUCACUCCAACUUCAAGUCCCGGCUCCUCCUCCUCCCGCGGCCAAUAGGAGCUCGCCCCCGGCCCCUCCGCGCCUCCCCAUUGGCCGCCUCGCGUGUCCGUCAGGGCGGCGCAGCUGGACGGGUAGCUCGCUCCCCCGGCGCGGCUGGACGGCGCGCACCGGCCCGGUGUGGGGGGGGUCGGGAGGUGAUACUCCCCUGGGAUGAGGUCGGGAGUGCAGAGAGCUGGAGGAGAGGGCGGUGUCCCGCGCCGCGUUAGACGGAGGCAGAGCCCGGCGGGACCCACUGCAGCUGCAGCAGAGGGGAAGGCGUGCUCAGGGUCACUUUCCCCCACAUCAUAUCUACAUGAGCACCCCCCCACCAGCAGCUCCAGCCGGCCCCACACCACCUGAAAUGGGAGCAGAGGAACAGCGCUCGUCUCACCCCAAAUGCCUCUCUGGUCCGGGUCCCGCUGGCCCAGCAGCACACUCAAUCUUGGAUUCACAGCCCGUGCUGUCCAGCCCCAGACAAAUGACAUGUUUGUUGGCACAACGUCAGGGCCAGCCAGAAUUAUGCUGCAGAACGGUGAGAUGGUGUCCAGGGAGGGGGGGACGCAAACCCUGCAGCCCUGUGCACCACCAGGGCAGCCCCCUGCGAGCCCAGGGCACAUGGGCACAGCAGGCCCGUGUGUCACCAAGGCAUGGGUGGCAAGGGAGAGGGCUCCAUUGAUCCCCCACGUUUCUGAGAAGGGGAUGGGAUGGCACUGCCCCUGCAGAGCACAGCCUGCUGCCAUACACACAGCGCUCACGUUCGCAUUGCAAGGUGGCACCCUCAGAUCAAACAAUCCAACUACACGUGUCCAGCCCAGCACAGCUGCUUCUGAUCCCAUUCUCUUUGUAUCCCGAUAACAUGCAGAUGGCCUUUGUGUGUUGUUCUGUUUAUUUAAAUGGAUUGGGAACAAACAUUUUUUUAAAAGCUGAAGCUUUGAGCCUGUAAGUGGGUUACCAGAUUAUACGCCGUCUCCAUUUUAAUUACAUUUGGCUCAUUUUGUUUAUUGCAUACAUUUUCAAGAAUUAUGCUCGUCAUGAGAAUUGGAAGCACUUUGCUUUAGCACUUUACCUGCCCUAUAAAGGGACCCAACAUCACACACAGGAGACCACGCACACCUUUCUGUCUCUAAGAGCACUCUCCUUCCAGCGAGGGCGGAAAAAGAAGAAAGGCUCCGUGGAGCCGCAUAUCCUCUCCAUUUGAAAGGCAACAUCUGAGCAUCGGGAGGAUGAAGGCAGCAGCAGCCCAGCAGGGUUUGGGCAGCUGUGUGCCACAACAGGCAAAAGGGCAGCGGUGCUCCCUGCUGUCCCCACGCCCCACUUCUGUAGGGCAAUGCCUACAAACAAAAGCCACCGACAAAGCCAUUGCCCACAGCCAGGACACGGUCCUGCCCCAUCCCUGAGCAGCACCCAGGCACCACUCACAUCCUGCUAGGGUGAACCAGGAGAGGAGCGAGCAAGGAGAAGGUAUGCAGCUCCAGCCCAGCCAGGAGCAUGGAAAGCAGCAGAAAUGACCCCAGCAAGCAGAGGUGCACGCUGAGGGACCUGGGAUGUAAAUGAGAAGAAAUUUCAGUACAGCCUAAGAAAUUAUUGAGGUCACAUUCCCCUCGCACACACAGCCCUGGCCUCCUAAUUAUACCAAAGAUAGCACAGGGCAGAGUGAUGGGGUGAGGCGGGGACGGGCGGUGGCCGCCUUAGGGCUGCACUGUCAGUACCAACAGCACUGAUAGCAGAUGUGGGGUAUGUGGUUAGUGGGCCUGGGAGGGAUGGUUGGGGUUGGACUGGGUGACCUUGGAGGUCUCUUCCAACCUUAUGCUGGGAAUGCCACAUCCCCAGAUCCUCCAGCAGACCUCCCGUGGGGACGGGGGGCGUGCACCCCAUCACAAGGAGGGGAGGAGGCCACAGCCCUCAGCCCAGCCCUCCCUCUGCCACUCUGGGGGGCCGUUCUGGAGGAACCCACCACAUUUUGCAGGUGCUUCUAGGAAAAGCACCGUGAGCAAAGCUCCACGUCAAUGGGGAGCUUCAGAGGAGCCACCUCACCACAGCCGACUGCGGUGCGGUAACGGGAUCCGCAGUCAGCCAUACAGGAGCUGCACGGAGCUGGAAUGGGAACAGCCGACAUCUGCAACUGUUUUAGCAGGAGGCGGAUUGAAGACAGCCCCAGCAGAGAGGCUCCAGCCCUGCGAGGACGCGACGCUGUUUGCUCGGCUGCUGACAGAUAGCUGCAGUAGCUGCGGGUGAUUUUAAUAAGAGGGGAUAAUAUUUCUAUCGGUUCUGGGAGCGGUGGUUUGAACCCAAACCGGCAUCCAGCUCAGGUCUGAAUCACACUGAGACACAAAGCUCCUCUCGCACCUCAGAACAGUGAAAGCACGUCUCUCCCCCAGGUCAGCCCCCAUGGCCCCACUGAGAGCCCCGCGCUCCCCGCCCGGCACUGCGUCCCAAACCCCAAAGCUGGGAAUAGCCCUGGAAGGGCUGGGAGAAGCGAUUACUCAAUGAGAGCAUAGGAGGCUGCAGGCAGGGCUCCGUCUUUUUUUUUUUUAAUGAAUGUUUUUAUUAUCUCUCCUGAUCUUUAUUAAAAGAGGAGCCAGGCAAGUAGUUGGAGGGAAAAUAUACUACGGCACAGAGCAGCGCCGCUGCGCAGAGGGACCGUGUGCGACCAUCGCCAUCCCGCUGAUGCACAGAGCAGAAUUAAUAAUUCUGGCUGGGGAGCAAUUAGUUCAGGCUGAUGAGCUGCACUUUCCCGUGUGAUCAAUGGUUGCACCUCCACUUUUUGCUACGCCAUCAAUCCGUGCCCAAGCAGGGCCGGGUGCUGAGAAGUGCUGUGUCUGCACCACAGAGCCGCUGGGCACGGCUGAACCCGCGGCACGGAGAGGGCUGUGUGCUGCAGGAGCAGCGUGGGGCAGAGGGUCACAGCAUGAUCUAUGGGGAAAGCAGCUUCCAUGGCUGCCCCCUCCCUUAUCUUUUAAAAGUCUUGCUUUCCUUAGUGCCUGCUAUUACUUUAGAAGGAAGGGAACCGUUCUUAAAGGCUUCAUUGGGUAGUGUACUUUAGCAGCUGAAUUCUAUAUCUGACCCUCAAAAGGAGAAAGAGGACAUCAGCCCACAGAGACGGGCUACCAUGUGGGACUGGGGGCUUCAUCCCCCUUGGAGUGCAGCCCCACGCCCAGGCCCUCAGCAGCAAAGCCCAAAUGUGGCACAGAGACACCAAAACACAAACGGGUCCAUUGGAAAAAGAGUGGCAGGGGGUGUCAGAGGGUUUUUUCUGCUGCUUCGCCAUCUUUUCUCCCAGAGGCACUCAUACCAGAGUGCCCGGCGUUGCACUGGACGUUGUCCCUAUGCAAUAUCUGCAGCACCUGCUGCAGCUCUGCUCGGGGUCUGUCCCCAUGCACCCCCCCCACCUGCAGCCAACACGCACAGCAGCAGCUGCAGCUCUCCAGCCAGCAGCACACACGGCCCAGAUUUCCCCACUUUCCUCUGAAGUGCUGGUACAAAACACAGCUUUCAAGGAAGAGACAGCCUUCAGAAAGGGGAAAAAAAA
rnacentral:lncRNA from 1 species